rnacentral:rRNA from 1 species
UACGAAGGGUGCAACCGUUGCUCGGAAUCAUUGGGCGUAAAGCGCACGUAGGCGGCGCUCUAAGUCGGAUGUGAAAUCCCUCGGCUCAACCGAGGACGUGCAUCCGAAACUGGAGUGCUCGAGUAUGGAAGAGGGUCGCGGAAUUCUCGGUGUAGAGGUGAAAUUCGUAGAUAUCGGGAGGAACACCAGUGGCGAAGGCGGCGACCUGGGCCAAUACUGACGCUGAGGUGCGAAAGCGUGGGGAGCAAACAGG